rnacentral:lncRNA from 1 species
UUCGGCAGUGGAAUUCAAUAUCAAACUCUUCAAUAUUGAAUUAGAACUCUUCUAAUCUAUAAAAUAAUUUAUUUAAAUUAUUUUUACUUUUCUCACUGUCCGCCAGUGACACCUAGCAGUAUAUCACGGCAAUCCAGAAUGAUGAUGAAAAACAAACCUUUCCGCUAACCGUUACCGUGUGAUUAAUUCCUUCCAACACACAACGCCCCGAUCGAACUAAAAUUAUGGUUACUCGCCAAAUCUUAUUAUUCGAUCAUAUGAUUAGAAUAUCUAAAACUGACUUAAUAUGGUAACACAGCUGGAAACUCUUUCCACACACCACGUACCCUGGCCAAGGAUUUUCUGAGUCGAGUUCGAUAGUCUACAUAGGACGUUCUCUCUCUCAUUAUUAUGAGUGUUGAAUUUCUUAUUACGCAUUCACACGCCUCCCCAUAUAAACUAUUACAACCAAUUAGUACCAGACAUAGACUAAUGAUUAGAGUCUAAGUAUUAGUACAGUCAAACAGUAGCAAUCUAUAUAUGAAGCAACCAUGAUGCCUCAGGUCCGAGGAGUACUUCACACAACGGUAGCAAAAAACUAGUCACUGGCGAAUAUGGAACCAUGUGACUGUUCAACUAAAUGGUCACGCUCAGUGUACUUGUUCACUAACAAGCAUCUGCAUACUUACUUUAGUGUCCCUACACUAAUGAUUUGAGAUUCGUCACCUCAAUAUAGAAGUGUAGCAUGCACCGGCCUAUCCGGAAAUAUCAUCGUCCUUAUGAUAUUCCGAUGGCUAGGAGCAUUUAAGAAUCUUGUACAAAGAAAUAUAUAUCUCAAAUUCCUAACUCUUACAAAUUUUCUUAACGAAGAUUCAAUGGACGAUUCAUAUAAAUAUAUUGUACUGCUAACAAUAAAUAUGAAUAAAACUUGCCCUUUAUUAAAUAAGAAAAAUACUUAAUAUGUUCACAAGCCUAUGUCACCGAUUGGCUUUAGAGUAUAUGACUAACAAAUACAUUAUUCAUAUACAAUAUAAAUAUACUACAUUAUUCGUAGCUUAUUAUAUUAUUUUUAGUUUUAAA